GAUGAACGCUGGCGGCGUGCCUAAUACAUGCAAGUCGAGCGAACAGACGAGGAGCUUGCUCCUUCGACGUUAGCGGCGGACGGGUGUGUAACACGUAGGUAACCUACCUAUAAGACUGGGAUAACUUCGGGAAACCGGAGCUAAUACCGGAUAAUAUUCCGAACCGCAUGGUUCGAUAGUGAAAGAUGGCUUUGCUAUCACUUAUAGAUGGACCUGCGCAGUAUUAGCUAGUUGGUAAGGUAACGGCUUACCAAGGCAACGAUACGUAGCCGACCUGAGAGGGUGAUAGGCGACACUGGAACUGGAACACGGUCAAUACUCCUGCGGGAGGCAGCAGUAGGGAAUCGUCCGCAAUGGGCGAAAGCCUGGCGGAGCAAGGCCGAGUGUGAGAUGAAGGUCUUCGGAUCGUAAAGCUCUGUUAUUAGGGAAGAACAAACGUGGAAGUAACUGUGCACGUCUUGACGGUAACUAAUCAGAAAGCCACGGCUAACUACGUG
rnacentral:rRNA from 1 species